AGUGAACGCUGGCGGUAGGCCUAACACAUGCAAGUCGAACGGCAGCACAGUAAUAGCUUGCUCUUACGGGUGGCGAGUGGCGGACGGGUGCUGAAUACAUCGGAAUCUACUUUUUCGUGGGGGAUAACGUAGGGAAACUUACGCUAAUACCGCAUACGACCUACGGGUGAAAUCAGGGGAUCUUCGGCCCUUGCGCGAUUGAAUGAGCCGAUGUCGGAUUAGCUAGUUGGCGGGGUAAAGGCCCACCAAGGCGACGAUCCGUAGCUGGUCUGAGAGGAUGAUCAGCCACACUGGAACUGAGACACGGUCCAGACUCCUACGGGAGGCAGCAGUGGGGAAUAUUGGACAAUGGGCGCAAGCCUGAUCCAGCCAUACCGCGUGGGUGAAGAAGGCCUUCGGGUUGUAAAGCACUUUUGUUGGGAAAGAAAAGCAGUAGGUUAAUACCCCGCUGUUCUGACGGUACCAAAAGAAUAAGCACCGGCUAACUUCGUG
rnacentral:rRNA from 1 species